rnacentral:rRNA from 1 species
GCCUAGAGAGAAGCUAGCGGCUGAUUAGCCUGUUGGUGAGGUAAUGGCUCACCAAGGCGACGAUCAGUAUCUGGUUUGAGAGGACGAUCAGACACACUGGAACUGAGACACGGUCCAGACUCCUACGGGAGGCAGCAGUGGGGAAUUUUCCGCAAUGGGCGAAAGCCUGACGGAGCAAUACCGCGUGAGGGAUGAAGGCCUAUGGGUUGUAAACCUCUUUUUUCAGGGAGGAACAAAAUGACGUGUACCUGAAGAAUAAGCAUCGGCUAACUCCGUGCCAGCAGCCGCGGUAAGACGGGGGAUGCAAGUGUUAUCCGGAAUCACUGGGCGUAAAGCGUCUGUAGGUGGUUAAGUAAGUCAACUGUUAAAUCUUGAGGCUCAACCUCAAAAUCGCAGUCGAAACUGCUUGACUAGAGUAUAGUAGGGGUAAAGGGAAUUUCCAGUGGAGCGGUGAAAUGCGUAGAUAUUG